GGCUCGGCGCCGCGCUCGGUCCUGGGAGGGGCACGCCCGCUGGCGGGUGGGGAGUGUGUGCACGAGGGGGUGGGCCCAUGGUGGCCGUGCGGGCGCAGAGCCGCCUGCGCAUGUCAAGGCUGACAGAGCGCACAUGACCGGGGGGCCUCUGGAGGGGCAGCUGCUCACCCGCCACCCAGGGUCGGGGCCCCGCACAGUCCGGGGGCGCGCUCCCGGGAAGGGACUCGCACUUCCCACCCACCACCACCCCUGAGAUCGCAGGCCGAACGGCAGCUUCCGCCUCCUUGCCGAGCCCUCCGGAUCUCCCCGGGAAGCUGAGGACAGGCGUGGACGGGACCGACGUGGAAGAAAUUCUCCAGCUCCCACGCGCGGCUUCGGUGGCUUCGGGUGUGGGGGACACGCCCAACUGGAGAAGCCGGUCAGAGCAGAGGGAGCCGGAGCUCCCGGGGUCUUGGAGGAUCCUGGUCGCAGCGUGGCUGUACCUAGGGGAGGCGAGAGGUGGAUAAACAUGGACCCCUUCGACAGCCCGGUCGCCUAGAGCCAGCGGAGCUACUCACUUCCGAGCGGAGCUUGCCGCGAGGCGCAAACAGGAUAGAGACUGGGGAGCUAACUGGAAUGUGAAGUUCCGGGGUCGGAGGUGUAGAUACUGUCCGUGGUGCUGAGCCGGAUCCCAGCAACGGGCUCGCGGGAGAGAGGCAGAGAGCGAGAGAGACAGCAAGAGAGAGAGCGCGCGCGCGCGCGCGCGGAGCUGCUGAUCCGCCCCUUCGAAUUGGGGCGGCCUGCUAGGGUAGCUUCAAGCUGAAACCGCCCCCACCCACUCCCCCCAACCCGACUCCAGAAGCCUGCAGAGCCUCCCCAGUCACGGGCGCUUGACCCUUUUUUCAGUCAGAGAGUCGCCCCCUUGGGGCAGUUCGUCCCAAAGGGUUUCCUCGAAAGUAUCUGAGAGGGCUCAGUCCUUGACCGAGGGAAUCUCUCUGUUUAGCCUCGGAAGCCUCCAGCCAAAAAAGAUGCCUGCCUUCAACAGAUUGUUUCCCCUGGCUUCCCUGGUGCUUCUCUACUGGGUCAGCACCUGCUCCCCUGUGUGUGUGGAGGUGCCCUCGGAGACGGAGGCCGUUCAGGGCAACCCCAUGAAGCUCCGCUGCAUCUCCUGCAUGAAGAGGGAGGAGGUGGAGGCCACCACCGUGGUGGAGUGGUUCUACAGGCCUGAGGGCGGUAAAGAUUUCCUUAUCUACGAGUAUCGGAAUGGCCACCAGGAGGUGGAGAGCCCCUUCCAGGGACGCCUGCAGUGGAACGGGAGCAAGGACCUGCAGGACGUGUCCAUCACCGUGCUCAACGUGACCCUGAAUGACUCUGGCCUCUACACCUGCAACGUGUCCCGGGAGUUUGAGUUUGAGGCCCAUCGCCCCUUUGUGAAGACUACGCGGCUCAUCCCUCUCCGAGUCACCGAGGAGGCUGGAGAGGACUUCACAUCUGUGGUCUCAGAAAUCAUGAUGUACAUCCUGCUCGUCUUCCUUACCUUGUGGCUGCUCAUCGAGAUGAUAUAUUGCUACAGGAAGGUCUCGAAAGCCGAAGAGGUGGCCCAAGAAAACGCGUCUGACUACCUUGCCAUCCCAUCAGAGAACAAAGAGAAUUCUGUGGUUCCAGUUGAAGAAUAGAAGCUAGAGGAUGUGCCUUGAGGUGGCCUGAAUACCGAGGGACAGAAUAUCCCAGGUUCGAUGAUGUCAACAGCAUCAGGAGGGUGCCCCUGGGGCCACAUUGCUUCCCUUUAUGCAUCCAUCCUUCUAUCCAUUCAUCCAUAUAUCCACCCACCACUGAACUUUCCCCUCUGACUUCCUGACUCCAUCAGACUCCUGCAAAUCCUAAGGCUUUGCCAGAAGUGAGGAGCCAUCAUUUCCACAUGGGCUCAACUUCACCCUGUCCUCUCUUUCAAGCAAGCAGCUCCCAUGCCAACUGGACUUCUUCCCCGUGCUCCAAAUGACUUUGUGUAAGUGCUGGAGAUAGCACCUCCCUCUACCCCGACCUGGUUGGAAAUAGCUCAUUCUCCACUGCUGCAAGAGAGUGCAUGUCUUAAUGGAAAGAAGCAUGAGUGAUUAGUUCAGAUCAAGACAAAAGAGUGUCACGAACUAGGAUUCCUUGAAGUCACUUUUUCCAAGUUCCUGGCCCAUCUGGCUUCAGCAUCAGAGGAAAGCAUGCCCCUCUUGGUCCUCCAACAAGAGAAAGCCAAUCUUUUUCUGACCUCUAGCAAUGUUGUAACUGACCACCAACGCCCUCGACAACCCAAUGCCUGUAUGUAGUGUUUUUAAAUAAACACCCUGUCCAUGCCAAUAAAGUGUCU